rnacentral:misc_RNA from 1 species
GCAUAAUAAUAUCGUGACAACGGUGCAUCAAGUAGCUCGUUAGUUUAAAUCAGCUUUUGCCAGUAUCGAGACUCAAGCUCCCAAAUCAGUUCCGCAGUCGCUCAAGAGGGAAUAGAGUUCCUCUUCAUUCCGAGCUACACACCCCAUUUCAACGGUAUGGCUGAAUCUGCAGUCCGUUCCACGAAAUAUCAUCUUCGUAGGCUUCUCCAACUUACGCAUUUCACGUAUGAAGAAAUGCACACUUGUCUGACUCAGGUGGAAGCCAUUCUAAAUUCACGUCCUAUAACUGCCUUAAACUCUGAUCCUACAGACUUCACACCUUUAACACCCGCACACUUCCUAAUAGGACGAUCACUUGUGUCCGUUCCACAUCCACAGUUGACAGAAAGGAUAACAAGUCUUGAACGGUACAAACGAAUCGAGUUCGUCAAGCAACAUUUUUGGAAACGAUUCUCCAACGAGUAUGUUACCACUCUACAGCAAAAGACAAAGUGGCCUACUGCAUCAAGCGAACUCAAAUUGGGUUCUUUAGUCCUUAUAAAGGAUAAAGCGCUUCCUCCCCUACGUUGGGCCUUGGGUCGCUGUGUGGCCGUUUUCCCAGGAACUCACGAUCAAGUCGCUCGAGUCGCCGAUAUAAGGAUCAAAGGAGGAACCAUCAUUCGAAGGGCGUUUAAUAACAUUUGUCCCCUUCCAGAAACUGGUUGUUGAACCAGCAGCCUUCCUGUCUACUUCAACCCGGGGAGUAUGUUGGUGACAAACAACGCACACAUCAUCGCAUCGUGGGCCACCGCGACGACCGUGCGGGGAUCGGGGGACGAGGCGCCGCGAGUAGCCGUCGCCCACGCAGCAACGCACCACCACCAGUCUCACAUAUGACACGGACCAUAGGCGCGCGUUCUUACAAUCCAAUAUACGAACCUACCAUAGAAUACA